CGCGGCUAACGGCAACGUGAGGCGAACUGGGCAGAAGUCAGCCGAGGUCAUAGUAGCUGCGUUGGCAGCGAAGGAC
rfam:Halomicronema hongdechloris C2206 genome.